rnacentral:rRNA from 1 species
GACGAACGCUGGCGGCGUGCUUAACACAUGCAAGUCGAACGAUAUCAAAUGUGUAGCAAUACACAGGAAGCUCUAGUGGCGAAAGGGCGAGGAACACGUGAGAAACGUACCCCAGACUGUGGGAUAACAGGCCGAAAGGACUGCUAAUACCAAAUAACGUCGGAAGUCCGCAUGGACAUCUGACGAGAGGGCGUGCGGUUUGGGAGCGUCUCGCGGACGUAUCAGCUAGUUGGAGGGGUAACGGCCCACCAAGGCAACGACGGGUAGCUGGUCUGUGAGGCUGGUCAGCGACACUGGGAGUGAGACACGGCCCAGACUCCUACGGGAGGGAGCAGUGGGGAAUCCUGCGCAAUGGGCGAAAGCCUGACGCAGCAACGCCGCGUGCGGGAAUAAGGCUUGCGCGCUGUAAACCGCUUUCAGUAGGAACGCUACUGACGGUACCUACAGAAUAAGGAGCGGCUAACUAUGUG